CUAUGGAAAUAUUCAGGAGGCAUAUAACCAGUAGAGACACGAGGAGCAGAAUUUGAGAGAAAAUUGGCACGUCCAUACUCUGCAAACUUUAAUUGAAAAUUUCCGUCAAGAAAGAUACUAUCAUCCUUGAAAUGCUCGUAUAUGUUCCAACGUUUAUAUUGUUCAUGUAGAUCUACCAAUCCUUUUGCAAUGCCUAAGGCGAUCUCCAUUCUGGUUGGCCAAUCCACUGUUGAUCUCGCAUUUCCAUGUAAAUGAGAUCUCAAGGAUUUGUCCUCUGAAACGAACUCAAAAACAAGUACUUUAUUGCCUCCUUCAUCGCAGUAUCCAAUCAGCUUAACAAGAUUGUUGUGAUGGACGCUACUACAAAUGGCUUUCAUUUUCUCGAAUGCAUCUUCUUGCUUUCGAGGCAUAUGUGAAAAUUUCUUGACUGUCACCUCAUGAUUGAUUAGGUAUCCCUUAUAAACUUGACCCAAACUACCCUCGCAAAGAAGGUUUUUGCUGGAGAAACCUUCUGUCGCCUUUGUUAGUUGUUCAUAAGUAAAUAUCACCGGCUUGUGAAUUUCAAGCCUCUCAAUGCCACUCGAUGAAGCUUCUCUACUUAUAGUACUGCGUCGCAUUUCGUUAUCAAUCUUCUCAAUCCAUAAUUUCUUUUCAAGCAUAGCUCCUUCAAGAAAUCGAACAAUCUCUCUCAUUGAUGGACGAAACUCUGGACGGUUAUAUACACAACCUUUGGCACAAUAUAUUACUUUUUCCAUUUCUCCUUUAUCAUACUUUUGCAAUCUGACAUCAACAAAGUCCUUAUAAUCUCCUUUCAAAGCCUGCAUAAUUCGAGUCUUUGCCCAAUCAACGAUUUUAACGCCUUCAUGUAAAGGUUCUCUCCCCGUAAUCAACUCUAGAAGCACCACACCGAAAGAGUAGACAUCUGACUUAGCAGAUACCUUUCCAGAAUAGUCUAGAUCCAUAUAAACUUCAGUUCCUUUAAUCGUUCUAGAAAGAUGAGUAACACUAUCCGGAAAGUACAAGGCAAGUCCG
rnacentral:misc_RNA from 1 species